rnacentral:rRNA from 1 species
GAUGAACGCUGGCGGCGUGGAUAAGGCAUGCAAGUCAAACGGCUCGCAAGAGCAGUGGCAGACGAGGUAGUAAUAAGUAGGUACCAACCCUAAAGUCAGGAAUACCUCAUCGAAAGAUGAGUUAAUACUUGAUGGUCUCUUCGGAGUAAAGAUUUAUCGCUUUAGGAUGGGCCUGCUCGGUAUCAGCUAGUUGGUGAGGUAAAGCUCACCAAGGCUAUGACGCCUAGGGGACCUGAGAGGGUGACCCCCACCGAUGGAACUGAGAUACGGUCCAUACACCUACGGGUGGCCGCAGUCGAGAAUCUUCCGCAAUGGACGCAAGUCUGACGGAGCGACGCCGCGUGGAUGAUGAAACUCUUCGGAGUGUAAAAUCCUUUUGCCAGGGAGAAAGUUUAUUGAUAGUACUUGGCGAAUAAGAGGUUGCUAACUCGUGCCAGCAGCCGCGGUAAU